AGUCGAACGAACUCUGGUAUUGAUUGGUGCUUGCAUCAUGAUUUACAUUUGAGUGAGUGGCGAACUGGUGAGUAACACGUGGGAAACCUGCCCAGAAGCGGGGGAUAACACCUGGAAACAGAUGCUAAUACCGCAUAACAACUUGGACCGCAUGGUCCGAGCUUGAAAGAUGGCUUCGGCUAUCACUUUUGGAUGGUCCCGCGGCGUAUUAGCUAGAUGGUGGGGUAACGGCUCACCAUGGCAAUGAUACGUAGCCGACCUGAGAGGGUAAUCGGCCACAUUGGGACUGAGACACGGCCCAAACUCCUACGGGAGGCAGCAGUAGGGAAUCUUCCACAAUGGACGAAAGUCUGAUGGAGCAACGCCGCGUGAGUGAAGAAGGGUUUCGGCUCGUAAAACUCUGUUGUUAAAGAAGAACAUAUCUGAGAGUAACUGUUCAGGUAUUGACGGUAUUUAACCAGAAAGCCACGGCUAACUACGUGCCAGCAGCCGCGGUAAUACGUAGGUGGCAAGCGUUGUCCGGAUUUAUUGGGCGUAAAGCGAGCGCAGGCGGUUUUUUAAGUCUGAUGUGAAAGCCUUCGGCUCAACCGAAGAAGUGCAUCGGAAACUGGGAAACUUGAGUGCAGAAGAGGACAGUGGAACUCCAUGUGUAGCGGUGAAAUGCGUAGAUAUAUGGAAGAACACCAGUGGCGAAGGCGGCUGUCUGGUCUGUAACUGACGCUGAGGCUCGAAAGUAUGGGUAGCAAACAGGAUUAGAUACCCUGGUAGUCCAUACCGUAAACGAUGAAUGCUAAGUGUUGGAGGGUUUCCGCCCUUCAGUGCUGCAGCUAACGCAUUAAGCAUUCCGCCUGGGGAGUACGGCCGCAAGGCUGAAACUCAAAGGAAUUGACGGGGGCCCGCACAAGCGGUGGAGCAUGUGGUUUAAUUCGAAGCUACGCGAAGAACCUUACCAGGUCUUGACAUACUAUGCAAAUCUAAGAGAUUAGACGUUCCCUUCGGGGACAUGGAUACAGGUGGUGCAUGGUUGUCGUCAGCUCGUGUCGUGAGAUGUUGGGUUAAGUCCCGCAACGAGCGCAACCCUUAUUAUCAGUUGCCAGCAUUAAGUUGGGCACUCUGGUGAGACUGCCGGUGACAAACCGGAGGAAGGUGGGGAUGACGUCAAAUCAUCAUGCCCCUUAUGACCUGGGCUACACACGUGCUACAAUGGAUGGUACAACGAGUUGCGAACUCGCGAGAGUAAGCUAAUCUCUUAAAGCCAUUCUCAGUUCGGAUUGUAGGCUGCAACUCGCCUACAUGAAGUCGGAAUCGCUAGUAAUCGCGGAUCAGCAUGCCGCGGUGAAUACGUUCCCGGGCCUUGUACACACCGCCCGUCACACCAUGAGAGUUUGUAACACCCAAAGUCGGUGGGGUAACCUUUUAGAACCAGC
rnacentral:rRNA from 2 species